CUGUAUGGAAGGGCCAUCGCUCAACGGAUAAAAGGUACUCCGGGGAUAACAGGCUGAUACCGCCCAAGAGUUCAUAUCGACGGCGGUGUUUGGCACCUCGAUGUCGGCUCAUCACAUCCUGGGGCUGAAGUCGGUCCCAAGGGUAUGGCUGUUCGCCAUUUAAAGUGGUACGCGAGCUGGGUUUAGAACGUCGUGAGACAGUUCGGUCCCUAUCUGCCGUGGGCGUUGGAAAAUUGAAAGGGGCUGCUCCUAGUACGAGAGGACCGGAGUGGACGAACCUCUGGUGUUCGGGUUGUCACGCCAGUGGCAUUGCCCGGUAGCUAAGUUCGGAAUCGAUAAGCGCUGAAAGCAUCUAAGCGCGAAGCGAGCCUUGAGAUGAGUUUUCCCUGGCACUUUAAGUGCCCUAAAGGGUUGUUCGAGACUAGAACGUUGAUAGGCAGGGUGUGUAAGCGCUGUGAGGCGUUGAGCUAACCUGUACUAAUUGCCCGUGAGGCUUAACCAUACAACACCCAAGGGGUUUUGUA
rnacentral:rRNA from 1 species